GACGAACGCUGGCGGCGUGCUUAACACAUGCAAGUCGAGCGGUAAGGCCCUUUCGGGGGUACACGAGCGGCGAACGGGUGAGUAACACGUGGGUGACCUCGCCCUUAGCUCUGGGAUAAGCCUGGGAAACUGGGUCUAAUACCGGAUAUGACUCCAUGACGCAUGUUGUGGGGUGGAAAGCCUUGUGCGGCUGGAGAUGGGCCCGCGGCCUAUCAGCUUGUUGGUGGGGUGAUGGCCACCAAGGCGACGACGGGUAGCCGGCCUGAGAGGGCGACCGGCCACACUGGGA
rnacentral:rRNA from 1 species